GGGGCGGUCUCCUCCCAAAGCGUAACGGAGGAGUACGAAGGUACGCUAGGUACGGUCGGAAAUCGUGCUGAUAGUGCAAUGGCAUAAGCGUGCUUAACUGCGAGACCGACAAGUCGAGCAGGUGCGAAAGCAGGUCAUAGUGAUCCGGUGGUUCUGUAUGGAAGGGCCAUCGCUCAACGGAUAAAAGGUACUCUGGGGAUAACAGGCUGAUACCGCCCAAGAGUUCAUAUCGACGGCGGUGUUUGGCACCUCGAUGUCGGCUCAUCUCAUCCUGGGGCUGUAGCCGGUCCCAAGGGUAUGGCUGUUCGCCAUUUAAAGAGGUACGUGAGCUGGGUUUAAAACGUCGUGAGACAGUUUGGUCCCUAUCUGCCGUGGGCGUUGGAUAUUUGAAGGGGGCUGCUCCUAGUACGAGAGGACCGGAGUGGACGAACCUCUGGUGUACCGGUUGUGACGCCAGUCGCAUCGCCGGGUAGCUAUGUUCGGAAGAGAUAACCGCUGAAAGCAUCUAAGCGGGAAACUCGCCUUAAGAUGAGAUAUCCCUGGAGGCUUGACCUCCUUGAAGGGUCGUUCGAGACCAGGACGUUGAUAGGUCGGGUGUGUAAGCGCAGUAAUGCGUUCAGCUAACCGAUACUAAUUGCCCGUAAGGCUUGAUCCUAUAACA
rnacentral:rRNA from 1 species